UCAAAUCGAGUGAUUUAGACUCACAUCUUCAUCCUUCAUUAUCAAUCGAUGCCCAAUAGAAGUUAUGUUUCUAAUUCUUAUUAAAUUAACUUCUAUUGGAAGCUUAGGUUGAAUUGCUUUGCCUCCAUGUUCAUCUUCAAUGAAAGCAAGGCCUUCCACCUUAGGAGGGGAUGAGUUGAAAGAAACCCAUGUCCCUCGUCACCCUCCCUCAGAUGAUUCUGUUUGACCCACAGAGUUGCAUUCCCACAUCACUAAGGGUCAUGGACAUUGAGCUAUCCUUACCGGAGAUCAUGUUACCCACUCCGUUAGCAUGAAAGUUUAUCUUGUUCAUCACAAGAAUCAUGCUCAUCCUCUUCGAAAUCCGUCGUCCGUUGUGCCAAGGCACUAUGAGUCGUACAGCCAUCUUCUGGCACCCUUUUACAGAAGCUAGAAUAAACGGUUGUUCAUGCUUGUGUUUAUCAUAAAUAUUGC
rnacentral:lncRNA from 1 species